rnacentral:lncRNA from 1 species
UUAAGAAUAUGACUGCAGUGGCUUGGGUCACUGCAGAGCCACAGGUUCAACCCCUGGCCUGGCACAGUGGUUUAAAGGAUCUGGUGUUGCCACAGCUGUAGCAUAGGUGAGCAGCUGUGGCUUAGAUUCCGUCCUUGGCCCGGGAAUUGACAUAUGCUGCAGAUAUAGCCAUUAAAAAAAAGAAAAAAUAGGAGUUCUCGUUGUGGCUCAGUGGGAUAAGAACCCAACAUAGUGUCCAUGAGGAUGCAGGUUCGAUCCCUGGCUUUGCUCAGUGGAUCAAGGAUCCUGCAUUGCCGUGAGCUGUGGUGUAGGUCGCAGACACGGCUUGGAUCCUGCGUGGCUAUGCCUGUGGCAUAGGCUGGCAGUUACAGCUCUGAUUUGACCCCUAGCCUGGGAACCUCCAUAUGCUGUGCAUCUGGCCCUAAAAAGCAAAAAAAAAAAAAAAAAAAAGUAAACAAAAAACAGUUGCUUGUGAGAGAUGCAAGUGGGUAGGCAAGGAGACUCUGCCCUGAGGAUUAGGUGGGCUGCAGUUUUAUAAUCCAAGGGGAGUGGGGGUGGAAAAAGACCACCUCUUCAUCUUUCUUCAACUAGUAGCUCCUCCUGGGUAUCCCUUAAGAGAGUAUUUGACCCUAUAAGGUCAAAUAGGACUGUCAUGGUGUUUAUUCAAAUCAGCAGAAAGGUGGUCCUUACACUCCUGUCCUUGGUCUGAACCUGAAUGUAGGCCUCACCCCACCCCCGACCCAAUGACCUGAGGCAUAUCUUGUGCCUCCACUAGGCAAGCAACCCCGCCUAGUUCUGAAGGCCCCCUGGAGCAGUUAUUAACUUAGCGUGAGCUCCCAGAGUCCCCUAGGUUUCCCUCUCCCUCUGUGUCCCUUACUGGGACUCUGACAGCGACCUGUGUGACUGUCCUCGUCCAUCCCUAUCAGCCUCAUGGCUAAAAGUUUCAACCAAAAGCUAAGCUGUAAGGUCUUUGUUUGUGUCUCUGUAUGUUUAUGUCUCGCCCCUUUCUGUCUCUCUCUCACACACACAUGACACACAUGUAUGUCCUUGUUUGUAGGAAAUAAGCUUCCUUCAUUCAACAGGAACUCCACAAACAAAUUAGUUUUACUAUAAUUAUCUUUGGUAAAAAAUGGAGGCAAUUUAGACAGAAAAAAUUUAUUUGCCACUUUGUAGAUAUUAGAUUCUAGUCCUCUUAAUUAUCUUUGAGAUUUUGUUAUAUAUCUGGAAAUUUGCCUGGGUCCUGAAUUCUUCUCGUUUCAUCAAAUGUCUGGCUGUGAUUCUCUAAACUAAUGUUUCCAUUUUUUUCUCCACCCUUCUGACUUGGAAUCACUAAGAACAAAGAUUAAAUUUCCUUGGGAGUUUGCUAUCCUAGGUCCUCCUUGCUGUCCAGAUGGCAGCUAAACGUUAGGGACUUGAACCUCGGGUACACAUCUCACAGGUAAAGAGGACACCACCUGACGUCUGGUCCUCUACAGAUGCUAGAGACCUACCAAUCAUAGUGACUAAGAAAAGAAGUAGCUGACGUCUAUGUAAACCACUUCCACAUCAGGUCAACUGCCUACUUUAACUAAACAUGAUACCCUUUCUUUUUUUCUUUCUUUCCCUUUUUCCUUUACUCUGGCAUUGGCCUAGAAAGAUGAUACUAUCUUUCCCAGGACAUUCCCAAGGCCACUGCCAAGAGGAAUAACCUUUUCAGCUACUGAAUUUAUUAGCAAAAACUCCAAUCUGUCCAUUAACAGCGCCACCUUUGUAGAAAUGGUGUGUGCCCUGACAGAGUUUAUCCUUAAUUGUGGUGGUUAUCAUUCUUCUUGGGCCUCUGCAUGCCUAGAUGGCUGGCACGUAACUGGAAAGUGCCUCUUAGAUUAUCUAACUGUGCCCCUAACUAUUUACGGAUGAACUAAGAUACCACAUUGGUCAGCUCCCCAGAAUUUAUAUCUUCAAGUUAGGAAGGACCUAUCAGGAGGCAUUCAUGAUUUAGGGUUUGCUUCCUUUGGCAGAGCCCUGCUUUCCUACUUAGGAGUAAAUGCAAAUCAGGAACCUCUCCCCUUAACAACUGAACAUACUGCAGAACUGCUCCUAAAACAACAGCUGUCCAACGAAAAUGCUUAGAGUCUUUGACUGAAGUUGUUCUUGAUAGUAGGAUAGCCUUUGGUUAUCUUUUAGCUGAACAAGGAGGUCAGUUUGUGCUGUGGUUAACACUAUUUGCUGCACCUGGUAGCUAGGAAUGGUGCUAGUAACUUAAACUUUGAUCACAUCUCUCAGGCUAAGUCUGAUCAAAAGGGGAAGGAUUUUUUUUUUCUUUUUUUUUUGGCCAUCCCUGCAGCAUAUGGAAGUUCCCAGGCUAGGGUUCAAAUCCAAGCUGCAGCCACUGGCCUGCGCCACACCUCACAGCAAUGCUGGAUCCUUAAGCCACUAAACGAGGCCAGGCAUUGAACCUGUGUCUUCAUGGAUACUAGUCGGAUUCAUUACCACUGAGCCAUAAUAGCAACUCUGGGAAGGAUUAUUAAAAAAGAAACAACAGACCCAAAAUGGAGACACUUGUGCUAAGCCCCAAUGUCAGCAAACCAAGAUGUCAUACCUGACCUAAUUGCAGUUUCAGCCUCUCCCUGAAACAUGACCUUUAACCAGUCAAUCAGCACUAGUUAGAUAAUUCACCCAAUAAACCCCAUCUCUCCCCCAUAGGAAGGGCACCUUGCCUGAAACAAUCCAUUCUUUGCUAGAAACUUCUUUUCCUACUCUCUUCUGCCUAUAAAAAAAGCCUUUCAGUUCGUAUAACUCAGAGGUCCUUUGAAUCUGCCAGAUACAGUGCUGCACGAUUCUUGAGUAUUGAAUAAGCCGCAUUAGAAUCUUCACAUUUACUCGUUUGAAUUUUUUUUUCAAACGUAGUUUACUGUAAAACAGCAUUUUAGAGAAGCCAGGCAGUCUCCUUCAACAUUUUUCUUAAAAAUUUCUUCAGCCAGGAGUUCCCGUCCUGGCGUUUCUGUGAGCUGUGGUGUAGGUCGCAGAUGCGGCUCAGAUCUGGCAUUGAUGUGGCUGUGGCAUAGGCCAGCAGCAACAGCUCCGAUUAGACUCCUAGCCUGGGAACCUCCAUAUUGCCACGGGUGCAGCCCUACAAGGAAAAA